rfam:Xenopus tropicalis strain Nigerian Chr06_contig_3190, whole genome shotgun sequence.
GGCUCUGUGGCGCAAUGGAUAGCGCGUUGGACUUCUAGAUAAAUAAAGGUAUUCAAAGGUUGUGGGUUCGAGUCCCACCAGAGUCG